UGUCCACACAAAAAUCUGCACAUGGAUGUUUCCAGCAGCUUUAUUCAUAAAUUGCCCAAACUGCAAGCCACCAAGAUGUCCAGCAAUGGGCAAAUGC